rnacentral:rRNA from 1 species
GAUGAACGCUGGCGGCGUGCCUAAUACAUGCCAGUCGAGCGAACAGAUGAGGAUCUUGCUCCUCUGACGUUAGCGGCUGACGGGUGAGUAACACGUGUAUAACCUACCUAUAAUACUGGGAUAACUUCGGGAAACCGGAGCUAAUACCGGAUAAUAUAUUGAACCGCAUUGUUCAAUAGUUAAAUACGGUUUUUCUUUCACUUAUAGAUGUAUCCGCGCCGCAUUAUCUAGUUGGUAAGGUAACGGCUUACCAAGGCAACGAUGCGUAGACGACCUGAGAGGGUGAUCGGACACAAGGGAACUGAGACACGGUACAGACUACUACGGGAGGCAGCAGUAGGGAAUAGUCCGCAAUGGGCGAAAGCAUGACGGAGCAACGCCGAGUGAGUGAUGAAGGUAUUAGGAUCGUAAAACUCUGUUAUUAGGGAAGAAAAAAUGUGUAAGUAAAUAUGCACGUAUUGACGGUACCUAAUAAGAAAGCAACGGCUAACUACGUG